AUCUUCUUCUCCUUUUAACCUUAGAUAUGAAAGACCAGGCUAUCUUCCUGGGCACAGAUGGAAAAAUACCCCUACCCCAGCUUCGAAAUGAAACCAAAGUUUCAGUGCCUGAUGCCUGCAGCAGCUGAUCGGUUCUGUCAUCUUUACUGUUUUUGUGUACAUUACUUCAAUAGCCUACGAUUUCUUCUGCUCUGGAACUGCACAGGUAAGGAGUCAAAUGAUUCAAAGGUUUCACUCUACUUGUAUAGGGUGCUUCAUUUAUUUUUAACAGAUAUGUUAUAUAUCACAUUUUUCAGACAUUUAUGUGCAUUUGUCCACUGGCUCACAUGCUCUUUUCUCCAUUUGGUUGAUAAGGUUGUAUAUGUUUGAGCAUGAGAUUGAAAGUCAAACUUUUGCAUACUUGGGCUUUGCUAAUAAUAAAUUUAGGAAAUGGAAAUUUUCUUUUGCUGGAUGUUGAGGAGGCUCUGUGGAAGUGGUACAUUUUGAAACUGGUCAGAAGAAACCGAUAGACUUUAAUGAAGAAGAAAUGUCUUGAGGUUAAGGCACAGAGAGAGGGAGAGGGAGGGAGAGAAAGGAAGUGAGAGAUAGUAAUGAAGCAUAUGAUUAUGAGUAGUUAAGGAGGCAUAGGCUAGAAAUAUAAGUAUUUUAUGUGGUUAAACUCAUGCCUUAGGGAAAAGAUGGAAAAUAAGUUCUUGUGUCGUUCUAGAAUGACCCAUAGAGAAGGGUUGUGUUGUGAAGGAUCCUGAAACGAAGUCUGGGUUCUAUGGAAAAGAUGCCAAACUUGGACUUUAGUGGUAUAAGUCUUGUCUUAUUUGCCACAUAGUAAUUUCAGUAAUUUCUAGGAAUUUAUUGAAAAUCAUAAGCAUAUUCCCUGGGGAUAAACCAAAUUAUGGGGGUCCAGAAGAAGGAAGAGGUGGUCUUAAAAAGGGAAGCUACGUUAACCACAUAUCAGGAAAAAAAUUUCCCUAUGGAACUAUUUUGCCUAAAUUAGCAAAUAUAUUUCUAAUAUUGGUGGUAUCUGUUGAGAGUAUGAUCAGUUUUGCCCUUCAGAUGCUGUUCUUCUCUUGUGGCUAAUAUUCUAUUGCUAAGCAUAUGUUCUCCUCCCCCUCUGUAUCUCUUAGUCCUGUCUUGUAACAGAGCACUGCUGGAAGUGGAAUGUUCUGCAUGUGGUAUGGGGAAGGGACUCUGGGCCAUUUUAAAUUAACUUGUUCUUCAGGGCUUGCCCCAGCUUUAGAUCUCUUAAACGAGAGAUCUCUUUCACAUAAACUUGGUGACAUUGUUCUUUUCUUAAAUCUGAAAAUUAGACUUUUAUUUUUCCCUUUAGAGUUAAAAUUUGUUGACUGAGAGGAAGUCAUAGGUCUAUGAGACAUCUAGGAAUUGAGUUAGUAACUCAAACUUUGGGUGUUUUUUAAGAGUAUAUGUAGUAAGGAGAUAAUUUUCAAAUGCAUAUUUUCCAUGGGAAAAUAUUUCCCUCUCACAUAACUUUUCAAAAUCAUUGCCACAUAAAUUUUUAAUGUUACAUAUGAGAUUUUUGUUUGUUUUGUGCUUUUAAAAUAUAGCUUGUUCAUGAUGAGAUUAGUGUAUGGAAGAUAUUCCAGGAUAUGUUGAGAUGGAAAAUUACAUGUUUGGUUUCUUCUAAAAACUGUAUUUGAAAAAAAAUAUUUUUAAGGAAAUGAGUAUUUUUCAGUUUGUUUUAUAUAGCAGUCUCUGUGAUUAUAUAAUUGAAGAGUAUAUAAUAGGUUUCCAAUAAAAUUUUUUUUAAGUCGAUGAAUAAAGAAUGAAUUGCUUUUUUGUUAGGAUUAGCCAUUCAAAUGUUGGGACUUUUUCUAGUAUUUUCAUCACAGCAGAGAUUUUUUUUUCUUUCUUGAUUUUCAUGAUGGAGAAGAUGAGCUAAUAGAAGGAGAGAGAAAAUGUGGCUAAAACACUACCAUAGACCUGAGAAAAAUUUUAAGAUUUUCUUCUGGCUGGGGUUGGUCUUAGGUAAGCCUAAGAGGACAUGCCUAGCUUGAAUUUUAAGGAAAGGUGGAAAACCUGUAGAGGAGACACUCAUCACACAGUCAAGGCUUAGGGAUAGGCUCAGGGAGGGUAAUUGUCCUGUUUUGGCAGCCAUUUUGAGACAAAUGGACAUUUUCUGGCAUCAACAUGUAGUUUAAAAUUAAAUACUAUAUUUCUAUUUUGCAUCCUAAGAUAUUUGUAUAUUUCUAUGUUGUAUCCUAAGAUAUUUGAAAGUUUGAGGUUUAAGGAAUUUUUCUGAGACAGGGAGUAAAAAGUAAAAAGAGAUAGUGGCAUAGUCUUAUUAGUUCUAUAAUAAUCUAAGUAACAAUAUAAUUUAUUGCAGAAGUAUAUGUUUAUAUAUCAAAACCUCAUGGUAACGACAAACCAAAAGUCUACAAUAGACACACAAAUUAGAAAAAGCAAUCCAAACACAACACUAAAUAUUGUCAUCAAACCACAAGAGAAGAGAACAAGAAGGGAGGAAAAAAGACCAACAAAAACAAAUCCAAAACAAUUAACAGAAUGGCAAUACGAACAUACAUAUCAAUAAUUAUCUUACAUAUAAAUGGACUAAAUGCUCCAACCAAAAGACAUAGACUGGCUGAAUGGACAUAGAAUUAAGGCCCAUAUAUAUGCUGUCUUCAAGAGACCCAUUUCAGUUCUAGGGACGCAUACAAAUUGAAACUGAGAGGAUGGAGGAAAAUGUUCCAUGCAGAUGGAAGUCCAAAGAAAGCUGGAGUAGCAAUACUCAUAUCAGACAAAAUAGACCUUAAAAUAAUGUUAUGUGAGACAAAGAAGGACAUUACAUUUGUGAUUAAAGGAUCAAUCUAAGAAGAAUAACAAUUGUAAAUAUAUAUGCACCCAACCUAGGAGCACCUCGGUAUAUAAGGCAAGUGCUAACAGUCUUAAAUGGAGAAAUCGGCAGAAAUCAAUUGCAUUUCUAUGUACUAAUAAUCAAAGAUCAGAAAGAAAAAUUAGUAAAACCAUCCCUUCAAAAAGAGUAAAAUACCUAGGAAUAAACCUACCUAAAGAGACAAAAGACCUGUACUCUGAAAACUACAAGACACUGAUGAAAGAAAUCAAAGAUGACAUGAACAGAUUAAAAGAUAUACCAUGCUCUUGAACUGGGAGAAUCCAUAUUGUCAAAAUGACUAUACUCCCCAAGACAAUGUACAUAUUCAACACAAUCCCUAUCAGAUUACCGAUGGCAUUUUUCAAAGAAGUAGAAUAAAAUAUUUUAAAAUUUGUAUGGAAGCACAGAAGACAUGAAUAGCCAAAGAAAUCCUCAGAAAGAAAAAUGGAGCUGAAGGAAUCAGGCUCCCUGACUUCAGACUAUACUACAAAGCUACAGUCAUCAAAACAGUAUGAUACUGGCAUAAAAACAGAAAUACAGGUCAAUGGAACCAGGUGCAAGGCCCCAAAUAAACCCACACACAUAUGGUCAACUAAUCUUUGACAAAGGAGGCAAGAAUAUAACAAUGGAGAAAAGAUAGUUUCUUCAGUAAGUGGUGCUGGAAUAAAUGGACAGCUACAUGUAAAAGAAUGAAAUUAGAACACUCUCUAACACCAUACACAAAAUAAACUCAAAAUAGGUUAAAGACCUAAAUAUAAGAACAGAUACAAUAAAAUUCUUAGAGAAAAACAGGCUGAACAGUCUCUGACAUAAACUGCAGCAAUAUCUUUUCAGACUCACUUCCUAGAGUAAUAACAAUAAAAAAAAAGUAAACAAGUGGGACCUAAGUAAACUUAAACAUUUUUGCGCUGCAGAUGAAACCAUAAACAAAACGAAAAUAUAACCCACAGAGUGGGAAAAAAUAUUUGCAAAUGAAGUGACUGAUAAGGGAUUGGUCUGCAAAAUAUAUGAACACCUCCUGCAGCUCAAUAUCAAAAAAACAAACACCCCAUCAAAACAUGGGCAGAAGAACUAAAGAGACAUCCGAAGAAGACAUACAGAUCACAAAAAAACAAAACAAAACAAAACAAAAAAA
rnacentral:lncRNA from 1 species